rnacentral:rRNA from 1 species
UUAGGAAUAUUCGUCAAUGGGGGAAACCCUGAACGAGCAAUGCCGCGUGAAGGAUGACGGUCCUAUGGAUUGUAAACUUCUGUUGUUAGGGAAGAACGACCUAAGUAGGAAAUGACUUAGGAGUGACGGUACCUUUCAAGAAAGCUCCGGCUAACUACGUGCCAGCAGCCGCGGUAAUACGUAGGGAGCGAGCGUUAUCCGGAUUUAUUGGGUGUAAAGGGUGCGUAGGCGGCUUCUUAAGUCUGUAGUCUAAGCCCGGAGCUUAACUCCGGUUCGCUACAGAAACUGAUUAGCUUGAGUAUG